GGCCCGGUGGCGGAAUUGGCAGACGCAGCGGACUUAAAAUCCGCUGGUACUCACGUACCGUGCGGGUUCGAGCCCCGCCCGGGCCA
rnacentral:tRNA from 1 species